rnacentral:rRNA from 1 species
UUCACUUAAAGGUGAGCCUGCGGCGUAUUAGCUAGUUGGUAAGGUAACGGCUUACCAAGGCGACGAUGCGUAGCCGACCUGAGAGGGUGAUCGGCCACAUUGGGACUGAGACACGGCCCAAACUCCUAUGGGAGACAGCAGUUAGGAAUAUUCGACAAUGGAGGAAACUCUGAUCGAGCAAUGCCGCGUGAGUGAUGACGGUCCUUUGGAUUGUAAAACUCUUUUAUUAGGGAAGAACGACUAGUAUAGGAAAUGAUACUAGAGUGACGGUACCUUUUGAAUAAGCCCCGGCUAACUACGUGCCAGCAGCCGCGGUAAUACGUAGGGGGCGAGCGUUAUCCGGAUUUAUUGGGUUUAAAGGGUGCGUAGGCGGAAAUGUAAGUCAGUGGUGAAAUCCUGCAGCUUAACUGUAGAAUAGCCGUUGAAACUGUGUUUCUUGAGUACAUUUGAGGUAGGCGGAAUGUGGUGUGUAGCGGUGAAAUGCAUAGAUAUACCACAGAACACCGAUUGCGAAGGCAGCUUACUAAACUGUCACUGACGCUGAUGCACGAAAGCGUGGGUAUCAAACAGGAUUAGAUACCCUGGUAGUCCACGCUGUAAACGAUAAAUACUGGUUGUUUGCGAUACACGCCAGUGAAUUGAGGGAAGGCAUAAAUUAUUCCACCCGGGGGGUAGGUCGGCAAGGAGGAAAUUCAAAGAAAUGAACGGGGGCCCCCCCAACCGGAGGAACAUAUGUUUUAAUUCGAUGUUACGCGAGGAGCCUUACCUGGGUUUAAAUGGGGAGGGACAGGCUUGGAAACAGGCCCUUCUUCGGACACUCUUCAAGGUGCUGCAUGGUUGUCGUCAGCUCGUGCCGUGAGGUGUCGGGUUAAGUCCCAUAACGAGCGCAACCCCUAUCGAUAGUUACUAACAGGUUAAGCUGAGGACUCUAUCGAGACUGCCGGCGUAAGCUGUGAGGAAGGUGGGGAUGACGUCAAAUCAGCACGGCCCUUACGUCCGGGGCGACACACGUGUUACAAUGGGGGGGACAGAAGGCUGCCACUGGGUGACCAGGCGCUAAUCCCAAAACCCCCUCUCAGUUCGGAUCGAAGUCUGCAACCCGACUUCGUGAAGCUGGAUUCGCUAGUGAUCGCGCAUCAGCCAUGGCGCGGUGAAUAAGUUCCCGGGCCUUGUACUCACCGCCCGUCAAG